ensembl:lncRNA
CUCAUUGGAGAAUUGCUGACAUCUAACUGAUUUAUUUUGACCUAGAAAAAAAAAUGUGAGUGCCCACGAAGUUGUUGAUCAUGGCCAAAAUAUGUUUAUAUGUAUUUAUUAGAACGCCUGCAGAGCAGACUGCAGUACUGAGUCUGUGCCAGCAGGUGGCAGAGCACAGCGCUGCAGUUAUGAAUGAAUGUGCUCUGACUGCAUGGCUUCAGGCAGCAUGACCACAGAAAAAUAGACUGACUUCUCCCUCCUCAGUGCACUGCCGGCAUCAUGGCGCUCCAUUACUCUGCUCCGAGUAGCGGGGGCGCGCACGCGCACAUUAACAUGGUACACACAGGAUCAGAGCUUCUGCGCUUUCUAUUUUUAAUAGAAAAAAGUAUUUAAAAUAAUACAACAGUAAGUAUCCAGUAAAGAUGACAACAGCAACAAAACAAAACAAAUCAAAGAAAAAGAAAAAAAAGUGAUUAGGUCUGUGUCUCCACGGCAACCAUGCAUCCUCCCCUUACGCUCAGCCCAGUUUGCUGCUUCAGUGCCAGUGUGUGUGUGUGUGUGUGUGUGUGUGUGUGUGUGCGCGCGUGUGUGUGAACACUCAGCCAAAGCAGAAAUGUGGAGCUACAUGGAACACCUCUGACUGAUGCACAUGACAGUCUGCUGGUGAAAUGAGGAGAACACAUUAAUGUGUUUGAGUGACUCAUAUCGAUACGCCGAACGUGUGCUGGAAUGCGUGUGUGCUACCAUAUGUACAAGAAUAGACUGCACGUGCACGUGAGCACGGCUCUGCCAGGUUCUGGUAAAAGGUGGAGGACGGAUUGGGUUGAGACACAGAUGCGGUGAAUUAUGCAGCUUCACUCUGAUUGCUGUGGCGGUGAGGGCGAUAAUGGCUUUGAUGAGGAUACACUACGAUGGAAGCCAAGAGUAAAACAAACUGAAGAAAAGAACAUCAUGGAAGGGAAGGGCUUGAGUGAAUGAUUGGCUGGAACAGAAUAAAAAACAAAAACAAAAAACAAAAACAGGGUCCUUGACUUCAAGGCAGGAGGAGUUGAGUUUCAAAUCACCAGCUCGCUCCAUAUUCUCUCUUAUUAAAAUAUCCCCAAAAUAUUCCCCCCUUUCUCCGCCUUCCCUCUUCCUCCCUCACCCGUUCUCUCAGGCUGCCGCGGCCCAGGCCAGCCUGACUGUAGCCAGGCAGGCCAAAGAGUUCAGUGUGGAUCCUGGUAGUGUUAGAUAUCUCCUUCCCUGCGCUCUUUCUUCUCCACUCGUGCAUCUCGAGACACCCACCAACAUGUUCCUCCUUCCUGGGCCUCCGUAUUUGGGAAGUUCUUUUGUCCAAUUGCAGAGGUUAAAUAUAGACAGACAGACAGACAGACAGACAGGAGGACAGAUGGAGGCCUGCGAAGCCGCCUUUAUCCAGCUCGAGGAAACGGCCGUGCCCAACCCGUCAGAGGCGAGUUCACGCGAUGUGUGCACAUCCGUCACUGCGUCAUCCUCCAUCCCUCCCUCCUUUCAUCUGCCUGUCACUUCAUCCCUCGCCACCUCCAUCUGUCCACCCGGGGCCUGAAGGGGUGAGGCGCUAAGUAAGGAGGGCUGUGUAUAGUCUCUGAAGAAAGUUUUCUUUAUGCCAUUCUCUCUCUCUGUCUCAAGCAUCCCCCACUCUUUCGCUUGUAUUUAAAGUAUUAUCUUUGCCACAUGUUCAACAACUCACAAAAUCAUACCAACAUAAAGUGUCCUGUCAACACCCCAUUGGUCAAACACUGAUUUAGCGCUCUCUCAGGCACACACACACACACACACACACACACACACACACACACACACACACACACACACACACGGUGAGGCUCUCUGUGGGGGUGACUCCUGGGGGCCUCUGUGCUAUGUCCCAUCUUCCUCCUCCUCCUCCUCCGAACAGUAGUCUCGUCCCUGCAAACAAAAGCAUGACUAUGAGAAGAGCCGACACCUGUUACACCACCUCAUUUACACAGACCACCAUCA